GGCUGCAGUGGGGAAUAUUGCACAAUGGGGGAAACCCUGAUGCAGCGACGCCGCGUGGAGGAAGAAGGUCUUCGGAUUGUAAACUCCUGUUGUUGAGGAAGAUAAUGACGGUACUCAACAAGGAAGUGACGGCUAACUACGUGCCAGCAGCCGCGGUAAAACGUAGGUCACAAGCGUUGUCCGGAAUUACUGGGUGUAAAGGGAGCGCAGGCGGGAAGACAAGUUGGAAGUGAAAUCUAUGGGCUCAACCCAUAAACUGCUUUCAAAACUGUUUUUCUUGAGUAGUGCAGAGGUAGGCGGAAUUCCCGGUGUAGCGGUGGAAUGCGUAGAUAUCGGGAGGAACACCAGUGGCGAAGGCGGCCUGCUGGACAUUAACUGACGCUGAGGCGCGAAAGCGUGGGGAGCAAACAGGAUUAGAUACCCUAGUAGUCC
rnacentral:rRNA from 1 species